CGAGCGGAUGCUAGGUGAUUUGGUCUUUCUUGCGCUCGCUGAUGGUGAUGGACCGCUAUGGCCUCGCAUGUGACAGGAAUGGCGUCUGAGAAAAAGAAAUCUGUUAUGUUCUUUAGGCAAAGGAAAGGUUAAAGGCGGAAGAAUAGUGACGGGAGAAGGUGUCGGAGGUGUAGAAAAAAGUUGGCGAAACAACGAGUCGAAAGGAAAAUAUAAAAGAGGCCGAAAGAAGCCACUCGUCGAGCCCCUAAGAAAGUGGCGGAAUUCCCAGUUACGCCCCUAAGGCUAGCUGAAACGCGUCGCUUUUUGUUCCAUGACAGAUCCAUGGAACUUUACAUCAAACAUAUCUCUUUCACUCACACACACCUACUACAAAGGGUUAAUGUUGUUUGUCUCACAACUGCUAAAAGGAUCGCGGGAAGGAUCCAUUAGAACAAUGAUUCUCGAUUUUUUAUGCACCAAUUUUCUAGUAUUCGCCAAUUGAAACGUUAUUUGCUUCGCAAACUCUUUUUCCCAAAACUUCAUCGUUUUACGAUAAUUUCUUUAUGAUGGGAGGUCGAUGUCAGUUUCUGCCAUACAAUUAAUCGAAGAUUAAUCUCAAUUUCAUUACAAAAAGUAUCAUUAAAUGGUGACCACAAUUGUUCGAAUUGUAAUAUUUUGUAUCGCAGAUUAUAUAUACAAAUUAUUCAUAAUACGUAUAAAAACGAAACAAAAUUAAAUAUACUAAAAUUGAAUAUCG